UGGAAAGAAAAGCUAGGAAAGACUGUGAUUUAUGUUGUUAAGGUUGAUUAUUGAAGACAGUGUUAUCUUUUGCUUAGUUCCUUUUUUUUCAAGUUAUUAUUUUUGAUGUUAUUUUAUUGUUUGAUAUGUGUGUUUCUUUGCACAUCAGAGCUUUUUUGUGAGUGAUGUGUUUAACAAUCUUUCAUAGCAGCCUGAUCAUCACAGCUUAUUCUUUUGCAAUGAUAAUAUUGUUUAAGAAUGGUUAUGCCAUCAGCAAAACAUAAUAAACAAAAUAAUGCAUGCCUUGGCCUUUUUUAUUACAACAAAUGUGUGUUUAAAAAUAAGUGGUCCUCAAUGUCGGAAUUUGUCAAACUCACGCCAUUUUAAAACCAAUCUACGACAACGACAGUUUUGGAAAAUAUAUAAUUAUAAAAUAAUAGCCAUAUAUAACAUUUACCAAGUUAUAUAUUGAAAGCACUGCCCUCUGAACCCUCUUCUCCCACCUGACUGAUGCCUUUUCUCUGUGGAUGUCUGACGACGACGAUAUCACUCAUCACUGUAAGGUAAGAUUAAUGAUAAGCACAGAGCUACUCUUUAUAUUAAAAUAUGUUUUAGUUUAUAACUAUUUAUUGUUAAUAAAACAAUGUUGAAAUUAAGAGCAUGAACUGUUAAUCAAGUUAGCUUUGGUGAAACAACCCUUACCAAAAUAACUAGGAGUUCUAGUAAGUAGGCUGUCAAGGCUAUUUUAUUUAAAAACAUCAGAUGAAGUGAUUAUUCUGUGUUUAAUACUGACGUUGAUGAGUAAUUAGUUAAAACAACAACAAAAAGAUGAUAACUGAUGUUAUUUUUUCCCCGCAAGUCCGCAAUUUUAGCGAUUCUAAUUUUACCUAGCUUGUUUGGUAACGUUAGCUUGUUUACUUUAGCGUUAGCUUGUUGAUAACAAGUCACCCACACCAACUGCAACUAACAUUGGGAUAAUCAUAUUUGUAAUGAGGCUAAUAGAUUUACUGUUGGGUGUUGGGUUUUGUUCAAUGUGUAUUCAUCGUAUUUUGGUUGUAAACAACUUCAAAAAUAUUUCAGUAAAUAAGUUAAAUUGUUUUGAAGAAGAAUAUUUUAGUCAAUUUAGUCAGCUUUUUCAUUGAACCAAAGAGAAAUAGUGCUACAAUAAUAAUAGCAGUAAGGUUUUCUUCUGUGUAACAUUACAUAUGUCCUUUAUAAGUAAAAUUUUGGCUGCAUUAUUUGUGUCCCCUUCAAAAAUUGUUCUUAAUAAAUUAUAUGUUUAUUGUCCCCCCAACUGUCAGAUGAAAUGUAUGCCCCUGGCUGUUAAUGUAAUCCAUUAAUCUAAUCUGAAUGCUAACGUUACUGAAAUAGUUAUUUGUGCAUCCCUAAGACAUGCAACAGCUUCUGUAACUGUAUGAUGUAACUGUAACUUUAAUGUUGUCAUUUUACUUAGUUUUUGAUUUUAUAGAUCACUAUGAGUUAUAAAUAAUGUUCAUAAGGUUUCAGUUAUUUAAUGUUUCAGCUUCAUAUGUUUUCACAGAAUGUUUCUUUUAUUAUGCAAGAUGAUUUUAUGAAUAAAACAAUUAAUCACAAUAAAAUGACUUGCUUUUCUGGACCUUUGUAGAAAAUGGCAAGAAAAUGGUUGAUGCUGCCAAAGAAGAUGACUCUUUAGGGCGUCUUGUGAAAGAUGACCACGUGAACCCCAACAGCAAAGUGAAAAUAAUCACAAUAGACAAAAAGCCCCAUUUGUGUUUAUUUGCUAAAAAGGACAUUAGUCCUGGGGAAGAAAUCAGUUAUACUGUAACUAUGGGGAUUCUGAAUGGCCAUGGAGACACCAGGUAACUUCAGAGAUGGAAGGACCUAACCUCACUCGUCUGUGGAGAUGGCAGUAAAACAUCACAGAUGUCAUUCCUGAAAAUCCUGCUGAAAAGAAGGAGGCCAGAAGGAAACAACAACAGCAAUGGUCUCCAACUGAAAUCACAGCAGUAAU